CCAGCGCCCUGGCGCCCCUGCUCCUCCGCGCCCGCCGCGGCGCCCGCAGCCGCUCGGGCCAUUGUUCCGCGGCUGCCAGGGCUGGAGCGGGCUGCCCCUGGGCUUCUGCGCCUCCGUCGUUCCUCUCUGAAGACCUGGCCUCCGCCUCGGAGUGGGAGUGGGUCUGGGAGCUGAGCGCAGAGCUCAGAGCGCCCUCUGUCCCCGCCCGGGCGUCGAGGUCACCCAGCAAGCGCAGAUCGGGGUGAGGCUCUUGGGUUGGUAGGCAGGGAGGGACAGGUGGGCCGGAUGCAGAGGCCGGCAGCUCGCGGGUGAGGCGGCGCCCCGCUCUUCCUAUGGGCUCCUUGGCCCGGUCCGCGCCUCCUCGCAGGCGGACCACCUUUCCUUCCCGGUCCGUGGGGCGCCAUCGCGCGGGGACUUGAGGCACUUGCGUCCUCUGGCGGCUGCAUGGCGCCCCGCAACUCUCCACCUCCGCGUCCUGCCUGUGCUAGGCAGGGCCGCCUUUACUGGUGUGAGGGUUGCUUGAACCCUUGAGGCGCCAGGAAUCCCUAGUACACUGACGCAUGUGCUUCCCAUGAGCCCGACAAGGUCUGGCAGGGGAGAGGCAGUGGUUCCUGAUCUCUGUCACUCUCUGGGUGAACGCAGAGGACACAGUAGUAAUUCCCCUCACCCACAAGCUCCAAGCUACCCUAGAAAACAAAUUGUUUAGCCUCAGGCCAUCGUUUGAGAUCAGGGACCAGGGAAUUAAGUGGACUCUGAGAUCCAUUGCCAUGACAAAAGGGGUAAGAGUCUCAUUGCUUGAGGAAAGAAUACGCCUUAAGUUCACUUUAUGUCUUCUGCCCAUUGCAUGGCAGUUAGGGGA
rnacentral:lncRNA from 1 species